GGGAGCCUGAACACAGGUGGUGCAUGGUUGUCGUCAGCUCGUGUCGUGAGAUGUUGGGUUAAGUCCCGCAACGAGCGCAACCCUUGUCAUUAGUUGCUACAUUCAGUUGGGCACUCUAAUGAGACUGCCGGUGACAAACCGGAGGAAGUGGGGAUGACGUCAAGUCCUCAUGGCCCUUAUGGGUAGGGCUUCACACGUCAUACAAUGGUCGGUACAGAGGGUUGCCAAGCCGCGAGGCGGAGCCAAUCCCACAAAGCCGAUCGUAGUCCGGAUUGUUCUCUGCAACUCGAGAGCAUGAAGUCGGAAUCGCUAGUAAUCGCAGGUCAGCAUACUGCGGUGAAUACGUUCCCGGGUCUU
rnacentral:rRNA from 1 species